rnacentral:rRNA from 1 species
GUGAAGAAGGCCUUCGGGUUGUAAAGCACUUUCAGUAGGGAGGAAGGCUUACCGCUAAUAACGGUGAGUACUUGACGUUACCUACAGAAGAAGCACCGGCUAAUUUCGUGCCAGCAGCCGCGGUAAUACGAAAGGUGCGAGCGUUAAUCGGAAUUACUGGGCGUAAAGCGUGCGCAGGCGGUUGUGUAAGACAGGUGUGAAAUCCCCGGGCUUAACCUGGGAAUUGCAUUUGUGACUGCACGACUAGAGUGUGUCAGAGGGGGGUGGAAUUCCACGUGUAGCAGUGAAAUGCGUAGAUAUGUGGAGGAACACCAAUGGCGAAGGCAGCCCCCUGGGAUAACACUGACGCUCAUGCACGAAAGCGUGGGGAGCAAACAGGA